rnacentral:rRNA from 1 species
AGUGAACGCUGGCGGUAGGCCUAACACAUGCAAGUCGAACGGCAGCACAGUAAGCGCUUUCUCUUACGGGUGGCGAGUGGCGGACGGGUGAGGAAUACAUCGGAAUCUACUUUUUCGUGGGGGAUAACGGAGGGAAACUUACGCUAAUACCGCAUACGACCUACGGGUGAAAGCAGGGGAUCUUCGGACCUUGCGCGAUUGAAUGAGCCGAUGUCGGAUUAGCUAGUUGGCGGGGUAAAGGCCCACCAAGGCGACGAUCCGUAGCUGGUCUGAGAGGAUGAUCAGCCACACUGGAACUGAGACACGGUCCAGACUCCUACGGGAGGCAGCAGUGGGGAAUAUUGGACAAUGGGCGCAAGCCUGAUCCAGCCAUGCCGCGUGGGUGAAGAAGGCCUUCGGGUUGUAAAGCCCUUUUGUUGGGAAAGAAAAGCAGCAGGUUAAUACCCCGCUGUUAUGACGGUACCCAAAGAAUAAGCACCGGCUAACUUCGUG